GGUGGUAUAGCUUAGUGGUAGAGUGCAGUGCUUAACAUGCAGAAGGUCCUGGGUUCAAUCCCCAGUGCCUCCA
rnacentral:tRNA from 1 species